UUGGAGAAGGGUCUGGCUGCAGACCAUGGGCGAGUGGAGCUCCACUCUCAAACCGGAAAUACGUCACCUCCACUUGAAAACAUCAAGAUGGCGUCGCCGGGAGUACUUCAAACUUAAACUCAGGGAUAGGAUUGGCAUAGAAGAUGCAGCACUCUUUACAUUUUAAAUAUCAAAUGUAUAUCAAGUGUUAUCCAUCCUCAUAACACCUCCACAAAUAGAGACUGAAACUUCCGAUCACCAUCACCUUGUCUGCUUUGGGACUGUCAUAGGUGAAUGAUGCAGUACUAUUCUGUGUUGAAUUUACCUAACGUCAGCACACAGACAUAGUAUUGUUCCAGUUUUGCUGUGCUCAUGUCUUCUUUGUGUCCCCAGCCCAGCAAUCAGAUGCAUCAGAACAACAAAGCACAACUGUGGUGGACCAGGCACCUUCAGCAACAAGUAAAUUGCUUUAACAUUAAUGAUAAUUAAAUGUCAGUAUUGUAAUUAAACUUGACCCAUCUGACGUAAUUGUUCAUGCCAGAGAUUUAACAACACUGUCAGCCAGGAGCAUA